rnacentral:rRNA from 1 species
UACGAAGGGGGGCUAGCGUUGCUCGGAAUCACUGGGCGUAAAGCGCACGUAGGCGGCUUCUUAAGUCAGGGGGUGAAAUCCUGGAGCUCAACUCCAGAACUGCCUUUGAUACUGAGGAGCUUGAGUCCGGGAGAGGUGAGUGGAACUCCGAGUGUAGAGGUGAAAUUCGUAGAUAUUCGCAAGAACACCGGUGGCGAAGGCGGCCUGCUGGGCAGUUGCUGACACUGAGGCGCGACAGCGUGGGGAGCAAACAGGG